rnacentral:tRNA from 1 species
UAAAGUCUUAAGUUAAAUCAAACUAUUAGCCUUCAAAGUUGAAAAUAUUACUUUGUAAUUAGGCUUU